CCUCCUCUCUCUCUGCCUGCCUCUCUGCAUAUUUGUGAUCUCUGUCAAGUAAAUAAAUAAAAUCUUUAAAAAAAAAGAAAAGAAAAGAAAUCUGCAAAGAUGGUGUUUCUUAGGAAGGUCACAUUCAUAGGUUCUUGGUGGACAUGGAUUUGGGGAGACACUGUUCAAACCAGUGCGUGUGGUAACCAGCCAUGCCCACCCCUGAAAGGAGACCUCUCUGUGUCAGGGUGCUAUGUGAGGACUGAUGCAUGGUUCAAAAAUGACUCCUUUACAGUGACUCUGUUUAGCUGCAAAUGUGGUCCUCAGGGUGGCCUGUGGAAGCCCGGUCACCAGGGGCCUCCUUCACAGGCUCUACCUCCAAAACAAUCUUCAUCUGUGCAUCUUCCUGUCUCUCCCAGUGCUUUAGUCCAGUCCAGGGUGGAACCUCAGUCUGGGAACAGUGCUUCCUAACUAGCUCUCUGCUUCCUCUCUUCCCCAUAUCCAACCCGUUUUCUAUCUAUCAGCCUUAGACAGUCUCUUAAAUGGAAGUUGGAGUAGAUCUCUCCUCUUCAAUGAUUUUUCUAGAAUUGUGCUGUCCAAUAUGCUAGCUACUAGCCACAUAUGGCUAUUUAAAUUUAAAUUAGUUUAAAAUAAAGAAAAUUUAAAAUACGAUACCUCAGUGGCACUAGCCGUGUUCCAAGCGCUCAUGGGCCAUGUUUGGCUAAUGACUCCCACAUUGGGCCGCCUGGAUACAGAGCAUUUUCCAAUCCAGUUGGUCUGGGCUGAUCUAGAAGACGCAGCAGCCGCUCCCUCAAAAGAGCAUGUGAAGGGCGUCCAGGUGGUACAGUCAGCUGAUGUCCGAAUCUUGGUUUCAGCUCAGAUGAUGAUCUUGGGGGUCGGGAGCUCGAGACCCGCGUCAGACCGCGCUCAGUGGGGAGUCUGCUUGAGAUUCUCUCCCCCGCCCUCUGCCCUUCCCCCCACCCAUCCCUGCUCACAAGUGCUCUCUCUCUUAAAUAAAUAGAUAAAUAACCCUUUGGGAAAAAAAACAAGAAGUGAUGCCCAGAGCGCCUGACUAAGCAAACAUUAUUGUUCUCCAAGACCUUUUGGCUUUGAAGCAGUACGCCAGGAUUAAUUUUUGGAGCUUUUUUUUUUUUUUAAGUAUUUUUCUCCUUUUUCUUCUCCCCGUUCAAGUAGGCUCUACGCUCCUUGCCUCACACAAGGCUGGUAGCAGCACUUCCUGACUUCUGUUCCUGUUUUCAGUGGAAACAGAGUUUGAAGGCCAGGGGAAGCCUACGUCCGAUGUGGAGAAGGCUUGAGGAGAAAUAAAUUUGCCUCAAACUAAAGAACACCUUCCAAAGUUGGGAGACGAGAGAGGUCUUCGUGCUCCACACAUCGCCAUGUGUGCCAGAGGAGAAGGUGUAGGGGACAGGAGGAGACUGCAUCCCAGGCACAGCCCUCUGACCUUGAUCUCAGGCACGUCCCAGACAAAGCAGAGAAGCCAACCAAGAAAGUGCCUGGGGCCGGGAGAGGAGACCUCUGUGUUGUGGAGAGGUGCCCAGGGGUCCACACCCACCGCCCCGUCUUCGGACCACCUCUCGGCAUCGCCAGCCGCCUGCGAUCCCUGCGCCCCGGGAUCCAUCCCCUCUCUGCCGUAGAGACUCCGUGUGGGGAGACCCCAAAGCAAACUGCCUGCUUGGACAAGAUAACCUGAAAAGUCUCUGGAAAAUCACGUUGUCAUAAGCUGCUGCUUGGGACGCUAAGGGCUUGUCAGCUACCCUCUUAUUCACAUCGAAGGGACCUGAGCCCAGAAAGGGGAAGGCCCUCGCUCCCAUGAUCACUGAGUGGACGACCAAGAUCUUGAACCAAAUCUCAGCCUAGGGGACUGAACUGGACCACUUAGGCAGCUUAGAUGACUUCCCUAAUGUUUUAUGUUCCAAACUGUAAAAUGGAAAUCCUGCUCGAAAGCUUACCGUACGGAAGAAGGUAUACAAUGUGUGCAAGCCCCAGGAGAGAACUUGGUAUACAGUAAGCCAUUAGGGUAAGCCCGGUUUCCGGGCUCCUCCCGUCUCAUAAAGUCAAACCAACCGCUAAAGAGCCGGUCCAAAAGUAAAGUCGAAAACCUCUGAAGUCCCCCUUUUCUCAAAUUACAGCAAGUCCCUCAGGCAGAGGUGAAGUACCCUGACCCGAGUGGUGAGAGGUUGGGCAUCGCGGCCCCUGCCGCAUCUGGCUGUGCAGCGAGCAGAAAAUACGGAGCCUGUUCAAGCACUUUGGCUUCCGCUCCAAGAUGAUCUGCAUGACAUUUGGGUCAAUCAAUUUAGAGAUAAUGAUUCUUGCCGCAGAGCUGUGCGUGUCCAAUCACAAGAAAUAGGGGUCCCCAAUUGAUUUUUGUGGACUGGUUUCAUUUUCUCAGAAAGCUUUUCAGGUCAAACAUUGGCCAGAGCUAGGGUGCUGAUAGGAGGUGGCAUAUUUCCAUCUACUUUUGCCCAGAAAUGUCUGGCUAUCAUUGUGCUCUGUUGAAUAAAAUUGAAAUCAUCAAA